rnacentral:rRNA from 1 species
AGCAGUGGGGAAUUUUGGACAAUGGGCGAAAGCCUGAUCCAGCAAUGCCGCGUGAGUGAAGAAGGCCUUCGGGUUGUAAAGCUCUUUUGUCAGGGAAGAAACGGUGAGGGCUAAUAUCCCUUGCUAAUGACGGUACCUGAAGAAUAAGCACCGGCUAACUACGUGCCAGCAGCCGCGGUAAUACGUAGGGUGCAAGCGUUAAUCGGAAUUACUGGGCGUAAAGCGUGCGCAGGCGGUUUUGUAAGUCUGAUGUGAAAUCCCCGGGCUCAACCUGGGAAUUGCAUUGGAGACUGCAAGGCUAGAAUCUGGCAGAGGGGGGUAGAAUUCCACGUGUAGCAGUGAAAUGCGUAGAUAUGUGGAGGAACACCGAUGGCGAAGCAGCCCCUGGGUCAGAUUGACGCUCAUG